NUCAUCAAGAACAGCUACAGUACUCAUCUGGUUGGCACCCGGAACAAUACCUCUUAAUGCCUUCACCAUUUUCCUCAUUUUCUGGCGUUUCUUGUCCUUAGAAGACUUCUUGGAAGGAGGUGACCUCCUCUUUCUAGACGGAGAUUCGUAAUUAGAACAUGAAUCUGAGGAUUCGCUUCCAUAGUUUGCAUCGGUUCGUCCUGUGCUCAGCUUAUCUCCAUCAUACUCCUCAUGUUCAUAUUCUGUGCUCAAUAGAGCAUCAAUAUCAUAUGAAUCUUCUGUGAAAGAAGUUCUUUCUCUGUCUUCCUUCUUGUCCUUCCAACCAAUAUUGUCUAGGCAGUUAGACAUGCCAACACCAAAAUCAGGAUGAGGAAACUUAGAACCAAUCUCGGGAUGGAACAUGAUUUGGCUUCUAUUUUUUGUUUUGUCAAAGAUUACGAAAUUCCUCGGGCAUGCAUCAGAGGUCAGAAAGUCAACACCAUGGAACAGCCUAGAAGGUUUUAUACCCGAGGGCAGAACUGUUCCACCAAAAAUGGAUUGAAUAGGAGCUUUGCUCAUGUAGUAACUGCCCACUUGAUUGGGAUGAGGAAGGACAGGAUUUUGAGGGAAAUAUUUUCGGUCACUAUGCAUUUGGAACAGUAAACAACUUCACUGAUACACAAAUCUGCAGCUUUCAAAAGGGUUCUCUUCGAUUUCAAAUUGCCAAAAGUUUUAGGGGAAUAAACUAACAAAAAAGACGUUUGUGGUACACCUAAGGCGUAUACAAUGCCACUUCAAAAAAUUUCAACACAGAGAAAGGAAAAGGCUACCAAUCCCAGUCUUACAAGCUUAUCACCGUACAGGACUACGUAACAGGUUUAAGCAACUGACGGAAAUAUUCAGCCUGUAAAGCAAAAUAAGUCAAUGAACUAGCUAACCACUAUUAACUUGAAACUAAAACAGCCAAAUAAGAGAGAUACACACUGCCCCAUGAAUCCGUCCACAAAAUCUGAUAUAAUAUAGCUUAUGAAAAAAGAAAAUAAAUCAAAUUUCCAAAUUUAUAGAAGAAAGAAUCUGAGUUAAAAAUAAAUAAAUAAAUAAAUAAAUAAAUAAAUAAAAGGGGCAAAAUGAAUUGAGAUAAGUUCAGCAUUAUUGAUAUUAAUUAGAUACUCUAUAGCACGAAU
rnacentral:lncRNA from 1 species